UUUCCGUAGGCGAACCUGCGGAAGGAUCAUUAAAGAGUAAGGGUCUUCGGGCCCGAUCUCCAACCCUUUGUUUAACUACCAUGUUGCUUUGGCGGGCCCGUCUCACGACCGCCGGAAGUUUGGCUUCGACCAAACUUCUGGCCCGUGCCCGUCAGUGGCCCCUUCAAAUUCUUGAUCAAGUAUGAUGUCUUAGUUAAAAACUUAAUAGUUAAAACUUUCAACAACGGAUCUCUUGGUUCUG
rnacentral:misc_RNA from 1 species